rnacentral:rRNA from 1 species
GGGUUGUGAGGUUAAGCGACUAAGCGUACACGGUGGAUGCCCUGGCAGUCAGAGGCGAUGAAGGACGUGCUAAUCUGCGAUAAGCGUCGGUAAGGUGAUAUGAACCGUUAUAACCGGCGAUUUCCGAAUGGGGAAACCCAGUGUGUUUCGACACACUAUCAUUAACUGAAUCCAUAGGUUAAUGAGGCGAACCGGGGGAACUGAAACAUCUAAGUACCCCGAGGAAAAGAAAUCAACCGAGAUUCCCCCAGUAGCGGCGAGCGAACGGGGAGCAGCCCAGAGCCUGAAUCAGUAUGUGUGUUAGUGGAAGCGUCUGGAAAGGCGCGCGAUACAGGGUGACAGCCCCGUACACAAAAAUGCACAUGCUGUGAGCUCGAUGAGUAGGGCGGGACACGUGGUAUCCUGUCUGAAUAUGGGGGGACCAUCCUCCAAGGCUAAAUACUCCUGACUGACCGAUAGUGAACCAGUACCGUGAGGGAAAGGCGAAAAGAACCCCGGCGAGGGGAGUGAAAAAGAACCUGAAACCGUGUACGUACAAGCAGUGGGAGCACGCUUAGGCGUGUGACUGCGUACCUUUUGUAUAAUGGGUCAGCGACUUAUAUUCUGUAGCAAGGUUAACCGAAUAGGGGAGCCGAAGGGAAACCGAGUCUUAACUGGGCGUUAAGUUGCAGGGUAUAGACCCGAAACCCGGUGAUCUAGCCAUGGGCAGGUUGAAGGUUGGGUAACACUAACUGGAGGACCGAACCGACUAAUGUUGAAAAAUUAGCGGAUGACUUGUGGCUGGGGGUGAAAGGCCAAUCAAACCGGGAGAUAGCUGGUUCUCCCCGAAAGCUAUUUAGGUAGCGCCUCGUGAAUUCAUCUCCGGGGGUAGAGCACUGUUUCGGCAAGGGGGUCAUCCCGACUUACCAACCCGAUGCAAACUGCGAAUACCGGAGAAUGUUAUCACGGGAGACACACGGCGGGUGCUAACGUCCGUCGUGAAGAGGGAAACAACCCAGACCGCCAGCUAAGGUCCCAAAGUCAUGGUUAAGUGGGAAACGAUGUGGGAAGGCCCAGACAGCCAGGAUGUUGGCUUAGAAGCAGCCAUCAUUUAAAGAAAGCGUAAUAGCUCACUGGUCGAGUCGGCCUGCGCGGAAGAUGUAACGGGGCUAAACCAUGCACCGAAGCUGCGGCAGCGACACUAUGUGUUGUUGGGUAGGGGAGCGUUCUGUAAGCCUGUGAAGGUGUGCUGUGAGGCAUGCUGGAGGUAUCAGAAGUGCGAAUGCUGACAUAAGUAACGAUAAAGCGGGUGAAAAGCCCGCUCGCCGGAAGACCAAGGGUUCCUGUCCAACGUUAAUCGGGGCAGGGUGAGUCGACCCCUAAGGCGAGGCCGAAAGGCGUAGUCGAUGGGAAACAGGUUAAUAUUCCUGUACUUGGUGUUACUGCGAAGGGGGGACGGAGAAGGCUAUGUUGGCCGGGCGACGGUUGUCCCGGUUUAAGCGUGUAGGCUGGUUUUCCAGGCAAAUCCGGAAAAUCAAGGCUGAGGCGUGAUGACGAGGCACUACGGUGCUGAAGCAACAAAUGCCCUGCUUCCAGGAAAAGCCUCUAAGCAUCAGGUAACAUCAAAUCGUACCCCAAACCGACACAGGUGGUCAGGUAGAGAAUACCAAGGCGCUUGAGAGAACUCGGGUGAAGGAACUAGGCAAAAUGGUGCCGUAACUUCGGGAGAAGGCACGCUGAUAUGUAGGUGAAGUCCCUCGCGGAUGGAGCUGAAAUCAGUCGAAGAUACCAGCUGGCUGCAACUGUUUAUUAAAAACACAGCACUGUGCAAACACGAAAGUGGACGUAUACGGUGUGACGCCUGCCCGGUGCCGGAAGGUUAAUUGAUGGGGUUAGCCGCAAGGCGAAGCUCUUGAUCGAAGCCCCGGUAAACGGCGGCCGUAACUAUAACGGUCCUAAGGUAGCGAAAUUCCUUGUCGGGUAAGUUCCGACCUGCACGAAUGGCGUAAUGAUGGCCAGGCUGUCUCCACCCGAGACUCAGUGAAAUUGAACUCGCUGUGAAGAUGCAGUGUACCCGCGGCAAGACGGAAAGACCCCGUGAACCUUUACUAUAGCUUGACACUGAACAUUGAGCCUUGAUGUGUAGGAUAGGUGGGAGGCUUUGAAGUGUGGACGCCAGUCUGCAUGGAGCCGACCUUGAAAUACCACCCUUUAAUGUUUGAUGUUCUAACGUUGACCCGUAAUCCGGGUUGCGGACAGUGUCUGGUGGGUAGUUUGACUGGGGCGGUCUCCUCCUAAAGAGUAACGGAGGAGCACGAAGGUUGGCUAAUCCUGGUCGGACAUCAGGAGGUUAGUGCAAUGGCAUAAGCCAGCUUGACUGCGAGCGUGACGGCGCGAGCAGGUGCGAAAGCAGGUCAUAGUGAUCCGGUGGUUCUGAAUGGAAGGGCCAUCGCUCAACGGAUAAAAGGUACUCCGGGGAUAACAGGCUGAUACCGCCCAAGAGUUCAUAUCGACGGCGGUGUUUGGCACCUCGAUGUCGGCUCAUCACAUCCUGGGGCUGAAGUAGGUCCCAAGGGUAUGGCUGUUCGCCAUUUAAAGUGGUACGCGAGCUGGGUUUAGAACGUCGUGAGACAGUUCGGUCCCUAUCUGCCGUGGGCGCUGGAGAACUGAGGGGGGCUGCUCCUAGUACGAGAGGACCGGAGUGGACGCAUCACUGGUGUUCGGGUUGUCAUGCCAAUGGCACUGCCCGGUAGCUAAAUGCGGAAGAGAUAAGUGCUGAAAGCAUCUAAGCACGAAACUUGCCCCGAGAUGAGUUCUCCCUGACUCCUUGAGAGUCCUGAAGGAACGUUGAAGACGACGACGUUGAUAGGCCGGGUGUGUAAGCGCAGCGAUGCGUUGAGCUAACCGGUACUAAUGAACCGUGAGGCUUAACCUUACAACGCCGAAGGUGUUU